CCUACGGGAGGCAGCAGUGGGGAAUAUUGGACAAUGGGGGGAACCCUGAUCCAGCCAUGCCGCGUGUGUGAAGAAGGCCCUCGGGUUGUAAAGCACUUUCAGUGAGGAAGAACGCCUGGUGGUUAAUACCCAUCAGGAAAGACAUCACUCACAGAAGAAGCACCGGCUAACUCCGUGCCAGCAGCCGCGGUAAUACGGAGGGUGCGAGCGUUAAUCGGAAUUACUGGGCGUAAAGCGCGCGUAGGUGGCUUGAUAAGCCGGUUGUGAAAGCCCCGGGCUCAACCUGGGAACGGCAUCCGGAACUGUCAAGCUAGAGUGCAGGAGAGGAAGGUAGAAUUCCCGGUGUAGCGGUGAAAUGCGUAGAGAUCGGGAGGAAUACCAGUGGCGAAGGCGGCCUUCUGGACUGACACUGACACUGAGGUGCGAAAGAGUGGGUAGCAAACAGGAUUAGAUACCCCAGUAGUC
rnacentral:rRNA from 1 species